UACGAAGGGGGCUAGCGUUGCUCGGAAUCACUGGGCGUAAAGCGCACGUAGGCGGGUCUUUAAGUCAGGGGUGAAAUCCUGGAGCUCAACUCCAGAACUGCCUUUGAUACUGAGGAUCUCGAGUCCGGGAGAGGUGAGUGGAACUCCGAGUGUAGAGGUGAAAUUCGUAGAUAUUCGGAAGAACACCAGUGGCGAAGGCGGCUCACUGGCCCGGUACUGACGCUGAGGUGCGAAAGCGUGGGGAGCGAUCCGG
rnacentral:rRNA from 1 species